GACGUAGGGCGCGAGCGUUGUCCGGAUUUAUUGGGCGUAAAGAGCUCGUAGGCGGCUUGUCGCGUCGGCUGUGAAAACCCGCGGCUCAACUGUGGGCGGGCGGCUGAUACGGGCAGGCUGGAGUUCGGUAGGGGAGACUGGAAUUCCAGGUGUAGCGGUGAAAUGCGUAGAUAUCUGGAGGAACACCGGUGGCGAAGGCGGCGUUCUGGACUGUUUCUGACACUGAAAAACGAAAGCCAGGGGAGCAAACGGG
rnacentral:rRNA from 1 species